UACAGAGGGGGCAAGCGUUAUUCGGAAUUAUUGGGCGUAAAGGGCUCGUAGGCGGCCAACUAAGUCAGACGUGAAAUCCCUCGGCUUAACCGGGGAACUGCGUCUGAUACUGGAUGGCUUGAGUGUGGGAGAGGGAUGCGGAAUUCCAGGUGUAGCGGUGAAAUGCGUAGAUAUCUGGAGGAACACCGGUGGCGAAGGCGGCAUCCUGGACCAUUACUGACGCUGAGUGAGCGAAAGCCAGGGGAGCAAACGGG
rnacentral:rRNA from 1 species